UGUCACCAGUGAGAUUGUCACAACGUGCUCUAAGGUGUCACCAGUGAGAUUGUCACAACGUGUUCUAAGGUGUCACCAGUGAGAUUGUCACAACGUGUUCUAAGGUGUCACCAGUGAGAUUGUCACAACGUGCUCUAAGGUGUCACCAGUGAGAUUGUCAGCACGUGUCACAACGUGCUCUAAGGUGUCACCAGUGAGAUUGCCACAACGUGUUCUAAGUGUCACCAGUGAGAUUGUCACAACGUGUUCUAAGUGUCACCAGUGAGAUUGUCACAACGUGUUCUAAGUGUCACCAGUGAGAUUGUCACAACGUGUUCUAAGUGUCACCAGUGAGAUUGUCACAACGUGCUCUAAGGUGUCACCAGUGAGAUUGUCACAACGUGUUCUAAGUGUCACCAGUGAGAUUGUCACAACGUGUUCUAAGGUGUCACCAGUGAGAUUGUCACAACGUGUUCUAAGGUGUCACCAGUGAGAUUGUCACAACGUGCUCUAAGGUGUCACCAGUGAGAUUGUCACAACGUGUUCUAAGUGUCACCAGUGAGAUUGUCACAACGUGUUCUAAGGUGUCACCAGUGAGAUUGUCACAACGUGUUCUAAGUGUCACCAGUGAGAUUGUCACAACGUGUUCUAAGGUGUCACCAGUGAGAUUGUCACAACGUGUUCUAAGUGUCACCAGUGAGAUUGUCACAACGUGUUCUAAGUGUCACCAGUGAGAUUGUCACAACGUGUUCUAAGUGUCACCAGUGAGAUUGUCACAACGUGUUCUAAGUGUCACCAGUGAGAUUGUCACAACGUGUUCUAAGUGUCACCAGUGAGAUUGUCACAACGUGUUCUAAGGUGUCACCAGUGAGAUUGUCACAACGUGUUCUAAGGUGUCACCAGUGAGAUUGUCACAACGUGUUCUAAGUGUCACCAGUGAGAUUGUCACAACGUGUUCUAAGGUGUCACCAGUGAGAUUGUCACAACGUGUUCUAAGUGUCACCAGUGAGAUUGUCACAACGUGUUCUAAGGUGUCACCAGUGAGAUUGUCACAACGUGUUCUAAGGUGUCACCAGUGAGAUUGUCACAACGUGCUCUAAGGUGUCACCAGUGAGAUUGUCACAACGUGUUCUAAGUGUCACCAGUGAGAUUGUCACAACGUGUUCUAAGGUGUCACCAGUGAGAUUGUCACAACGUGUUCUAAGUGUCACCAGUGAGAUUGUCACAACGUGUUCUAAGGUGUCACCAGUGAGAUUGUCACAACGUGUUCUAAGGUGUCACCAGUGAGAUUGU